GAUCAGGACUACACAGUUAGUAGUCGUACUCAUCUUUUUUCCAUUUCGCUGUUCCACUUCUGCUGAAGAUAAUUCCUGUAAGCUUUUUCCUUUUCUUGAACAUCUCCGGUUAUAAGCUGAAAGUGGAAUUUUCUUCUCCCAGUAUUUCACCUUGCAGACAACAAAUCUAUAUUUCUCUCUCCUUCUCUCUCUCUGUAAUUCUCCAGCACGCUUUCACUCUUUGUCUCUCUCGGGACAUAAUCUUGAAUUUUCACGGAUUUGAACGUCCUUUCUGCAAACCCUUCUCAAUUUUUGUUUCGUGUUUCGGGUUUAUUUCUUUUGCUUGUUUAUCUUCUUCUUUUUUUGGUGCUUCGGGAUAUUUGCUUGUUUAUCUUCUAGUCUCUCUCUCUCUCUCUCUCUCUCUCUCUCUCUCUCCGGCAUAGUCUUGCAGUUCUUGGAUUUGAAGGUACUUUCUUCAUACCCUUUUCACUUUCUUGGUUCUUUGUUUUGGGUUCAUCUUAUUUCUUUGUUUUUCCGACUGUAGAUCUGGGAAUUGAGCACUUGCUGCAAAAGUUGUAUGCUCCAUUUUCUUAUAUAUAAUCCAUGAGCAGAUAUACUUUACGGUUGUAUAUCUACACAUAGGUAGGAGAAUUCGGAGACCUUCUUUGGGUGUAGGAUUUCUGAGUCAUACAUUUUCUUGUUAAUUUAUAUUGUGGUUUUGUUAAGACUUAAGAUGGAGUGAAUAAAAUUUUGUGGUGAUAUCUUUUAAAGUCUUUUAAUUUGAAAACUAGGGUUUCCAAAAGUUCAAGGUGUUCUCCCUAUUGCAAAAGUUCCUUGAGGUUUUAUGGUUGGAAGGUGGAACAUUUUCUCAAUACAAUACAAUACCUCACAUUUCUCCAAAAAAAAAAGAAAAAAGAAAUUGUUGGACUUUUUAUUCCCAAUGUUUUUUCCCUGGUAUUAGAGCUUCGGGUGAUCCAAACCUUUCCUUUGGUAAACACUUUUUUUUUUGACCUUCUAGUUUUUAUUUAUUUAUCUAGUUUAUAGUUAAUUUAUUAUUGGAAGAUCUGAAACGUGCUUGUUUUACAGGGAGCUGUAACUGGUGUUUAGGUUACUGCAAAUUAUGUGGUUUUUUUAUUUUGCUGAUCUAGCUGUAUCACCACUCAUAUUGUCUGUUUUUUUAAUGCUAUUUAGAAGACUUUGGUUGUUAUAUAUAUACUGCAUGCAUGUGAUCAUAUUAUUCUGCUACUUAGAGAUAAUCACAUGAUCAUGUAACUUUCUUGGUACUGAUGCUGCUUUCAUUUAAUGCUUAAAAUAGUUGAGAUCAUGCACUGAUGCACUCUCUCUCUGGUAGGGGUGUUCAAUUGAGUUUUGAUUUUUUCUAUGUCUUGGAGCUUUGUGUUGUAAACACCAAACAAUAGACAUCAUAAAUAUUUUGAAAAAUUCAUUCCAUUAGGGCUAUGGGCUUGUUUGAUUGGAGGGAUAUUGGAUUAUGCGGGAUUGUAAUCAAGGGAUUGUUAAUGGUCUAAUGGUGUUAGUCUUGUCUAGAUAAUGGACAAGUUCUAUCCCGCUUAUCCCGUAUUUGUUUUGAAGACCCCUUGAAAGGGAUUAGUGGUUCAAAUGACUAUAGUACCUCUAAUGCAAUUCAUAUUUCCACCCAUGUUUAGCUCUUGGACUCUUGUUCUUCUGCCUAAUUUCUUUAAUGUAGUAUUGUUUUUUUAUCAUCUUCUUUGAUAUAUAAGAAGUUGUUUUUUCUAUAAGGUCGGUAAAAAAAUGAUAUUUUGGGUAUAUAAUAAUGAAGGAUACAUUUUCUUUUAUCAAAGUUGGUAUGGAUGUGAUUUUCAUGAAGAUUGGUUGGAAUAAUAUAUAUAUAUAUAUAUAUAUAUAUAUAUAUAUUUUUUUUUUUUUUUUUUGGGUAUGCAUUGAACCUAUGACAUUUUUUCUUCACCAGCAAUGGUACAAAAGUUAUUUUGUAAACAAAAACAGAAGGUUUUAUUUUAUUUUAUAUUAAGUUGGUAACAAAAGUUAUUUCUAGUACAAAUGAUCAAUGAUAACAAAAGUUCUUUUCAUUAUCAAGGUUGGUACAAAAGUGUUUUAAUAAUGAAGAAUUUUUUUUAAAUUUUUUGGUAGAAAAUGAUGAACUAUAACGUAAGGCGUUUUUUUGUCAAGAUUGUUACAAAAGUUUUUCCUGAUACAAGAUCAUGAACUAUAAGAGAACUUUAUUUUAUGCAAGGUUGGUAUCAAAAGCUUUUUUCUGGUAAAGAAUUAUGAAGGAUAGCAGAAGUUUUUUUUUUUUUUUUUCCACAAGGUGGGUACAACAACUUUGUUUGGUACAAAAUGAUGAACUCUAACAAACACACACACACACACACACACACACACACACACACACACACAUAUAUAUAUAUAUAUAUAUUUUAUGAUAAAAAAAUGAACAUUUUUUUUUUUUAAAAGAGGUGGUCAGUGCAAAGAACAAUGGGCUAGAGACAUUAGAUGUGGAUUCAAUUAGAAUUACCCGCGAUUGAUUUGUGCCUUCUUUAAAGGAUAUUGAGUCCAAUUAGGACUAAUGGUCCAGUGGUAGAUAGACACACAAAUAUAGGAUUAGGAGAGGUGUGGGGAUUGUCCUAUCCCACCUCUGGUCCCUCGAAUCAAAUAGGCCCUUAAAGUUUUAAAAACCGGCCAGUAUGUAACUGUUGAUGCAAGGCCUGAAUUGGAUGCAAAUUAACUGGUAUAGUGGUGAGGGCCAAAUAUUUACUAGUUAACCGGCCGUCCCUGAUUAGUAACAGUGGGUUUUUUUUUUAUCCGGUUGUUCACCGGGGAAUGGGAUUAGGCCUUCGUAGGAUCAUAGAGCCUUUUCAUUGUUGGAAAUCCUAAAUAAUAAAUUUGUACUCGAUUUCAAUUCUAAGACAAAAUGGUAAUUGUUUUGUGUCCAUCGUGACCUUGUGUUUCAAGCAUGCUUCCUGCUUGGGAUUGUGCACUCCCACAACCAUUGUUAUGAAGCUUGGGGCUUUUUUUCAAUUUCAUUUACCUGUGUGGGAUUGAUGGUUUUGAAUUGUUUGAAAUCUAGCCUUGGGUGACCAUAGAUUUUCAGUGCUGUCCCUUUGCCCCCAUUUUCUAAAUUGUGUAUAACCAUUUUUGAGGAUUUGCUUUGAAUGUUCAAGGUGAACACAAAUUUGGAGGUAUACAACAUUGGAAAUGUGGAUAGACAAAGUAGGAUGCGGGGUAUUAGUUUGCAAAAGGAAUACGUAGAUGUUAUAACAUAGAUUAAACAUGUAAUAUUGAAAUGAACUUUUUUUGUUGAACAUGUGUUGAGGAUUUUAUUUUAAAAAAAUUCACGAAUGUGACACUCGAUAUCUAUGCAUAUUGCUUGAUAUGUAGCACUACACCUACCAUUGAUCAUCUUCUUAUCCAUUUAUUGCAAGGUGAAAUAAGAGUAAAAUAAGAAUUACAUCGCGGAAGUUUGAAUUUGAUGCUCAAUUACGGUAAGGUGUGUUUUGGAGGGGAUGGAAGAAUCAAGAGAAAGGAUAAGAAGAGUAAUGAAGUGUAAAGGUUAAAUUUAGGCAUAAAUCCAUUAUAGAAACCAAUGUAGCACAAACACUUCGCCGAAGGUCAAAUACCGGUUUAUGAUGCUGGCACUAUCCGGACACGUUCUGGCACUAAAAUCAAAAGUGUCCUAUUAUUUCUCAAUGUUCUUCGUUGGACACUUUUGGGAACACUCUAAAUAUUGCUUUAGAUGCUUUAUGGACACUACGGAUACUCACACGACACUCAUUGGGGAUGGUAAAAGCAAUAGUAGACUUCGUAGACAAGUUAAAGCUUAAGGAAGUCUUUGUUUUUCGUGCGACAGAUGAUAGUUUACUUAUUAUAAUGACACAAUACUUUUGUGAAUUAUGUAAUCAUGAGAUUGAAAGUGUACAUCGUUUUAUAAAUUUAUAUUAGAGCCUAAUCAUUAUUCUUUACUCAUACAAUACUUGUAAUUUUUUGUAAAGUGAGUCCUGACGGCUUGUCCUUCAAUUAUGUAAAAUUUGCAAUUGUUGAUGUUGUGUCGCGUGUCAGUGUCAAUGCUACAUUGAUAGAACACAUCCAAUUAAAAUAGUGAAUGCUUUUUGUUUGUGUGUUAAUCCUUACAUUUUUUCUUAUUGUACAGUUUUGAGAUGUAUGGGGGCCGCUAUUCAACAGUAAAACUUUUUAAGAGCAAUCAAUUUGUGCACAUAUUGCCGAAUUUUAAGUCUAUUUGCAAUCAUUCCUCACCCAUUCCCUCAUCAAUUGGGAAGUACAUGCGUACUCUAUUCCUUUUUUCUUAUAGCAUGUUUUCUUUUCACUGCAGAUAUUUUUGAAGCUUUGACACACUAUUGUUUGACGACGAGAGAGAGCACGCUAGUAUGCGUUCAUGCUUGGACAUGAUUGUGUACAAGCGUGCUUUCUAUCGUCGUCAUACAUUUUGUUGGUCAAUGCAAGCUCAAUUCCUCCUCAUAUGUUCGUCCUUGCAUUUUUGCGAGUGUGUGAUAUAACUCAUCCCCACAGUCUGAGAUUUGAGAUCCUUCUAUUGCAUAUGUGACUCAGAGGAGAGAACUUGUUGCUAUUUCUUCAGAAUGCCUACAAAACUUCAUUUGCAUUUUAGGGACUUGACAAAUCAAUUUGGAUCAGGUGAAGUGUUUUCUCUCAAGUUCAAGCCUUUCAGGUUCCUCACAUAGUCCAACCAUUAGUUAUUACAGAGUACUUUUGUUUUGCGAUAUCUCAUUUUUUAAUAUCUUUAAUUAGCCGGAAAAAAAAGAAAAAUCUUUUAUGAAAAGGUUGAUACCAACGUGCAAUAAGAGUUUGACGUCUCAAAAGGGCCAAAGAUGGACUGUUAGGAGGAUUCCAUAAGGUUUAGGACCCAUGUCACAUGGGCUAGGGUAUGGUUACCACGGCAAGUACAAUUCGUCAUUUUUUAUGCAACAAAUUGCUUAGGGAGUGAGGGACUGCCAUCCCUCUUUCUGUCCUCUUGGAAAUUGUUAAAUGUAUAAGCUAAAACAUGUCUUUGAUUAUGCAAAGGAUGAGAGACGAUGAAGCAAGAGUUUGGUUUAUAGCUAGCUUUUGA